CACGUAGGAGCCUAGCGUUAUCCGAAUUUACUGGGCGUAAAGCGCGUGUAGGCGGUUCGAUAAGUUGGAUGUGAAAGCUCCUGGCUCAACUGGGAGAGGUCGUUCAAUACUGUCGGACUUGAGGAUGGUAGAGGGAGGUGGAAUUCCCGGUGUAGUGGUGAAAUGCGUAGAUAUCGGGAGGAACACCAGUGGCGAAAGCGGCCUCCUGGACCAUUCCUGACGCUCAGACGCGAAAGCUAAGGGAGCAAACGGG
rnacentral:rRNA from 1 species